AGGUACGCGUGGCGGCGUGACCUAACACAUGCAAGUCGAACGGUUCUAAGCGCGAGCUUAGGAUAGUGGCGAACGGGUGAGUAAAAGGUAGAAUCUACCCCUUGGACGGAGAUAGCUACUGGAAACGGUAGGUAAACUUCGAUAAGCCCGAGGAGGGAAAGUGGUGAGACAGCCGAGGGAUGAGCCUACUCUCCAUCAGGUAGUUGGUGAGAUAAAAGCUUACCAAGCCGAUGACGGAUAACCGGUGUGAGAGCAUGAACGGUCACAAGGGCACUGAGAGACGGGCCCUACUCCUACGGGAGGCAGCAGUGGGGAAUCUUGGACAAUGGGCGAAAGCCUGAUCCAGCGACGCCGCGUGGAGGAAGAAGUCCUUCGGGAUGUAAACUUCUGAACUAGCCGAAUAAAAGGCCUGUGGACACACAGGAGAAGAAAGUAGGCUAGGAAAAGUCCCGGCUAACUACGUG
rnacentral:rRNA from 1 species